AACGAACGCUGGCGGCAGGCCUAACACAUGCAAGUCGAACGCCCUCUUCGGAGGGAGUGGCAGACGGGUGAGUAACGCGUGGGAACCUUCCCUAUGGUACGGAAUAACUCAGAGAAAUUUGAGCUAAUACCGUAUAAGCCCUUCGGGGGAAAGAUUUAUCGCCAUUGGAUGAGCCUACGUCGGAUUAGCUUGUUGGUGGGGUAACGGCCUACCAAGGCGACGAUCCGUAGCUGGUCUGAGAGGACGAUCAGCCACACUGGGACUGAGACACGGCCCAGACUCCUACGGGAGGCAGCAGUGGGGAAUAUUGGACAAUGGGGGAAACCCUGAUCCAGCAAUGCCGCGUGUGUGAAGAAGGCCUGCGGGUUGUAAAGCACUUUCAGUGGGGAGGAUAAUGACGUUACCCACAGAAGAAGCACCGGCUAACUCUGUG
rnacentral:rRNA from 1 species